rnacentral:rRNA from 1 species
GUAGGUGGCAAGCGUUGUCCGGAAUUAUUGGGCGUAAAGCGCGCGCAGGCGGUCCUUUAAGUCUGAUGUGAAAGCCCACGGCUCAACCGUGGAGGGUCAUUGGAAGCUGGGGGACUUGAGUACAGAAGAGGAAAGCGGAAUUCCAAGUGUAGCGGUGAAAUGCGUAGAGAUUUGGAGGAACACCAGUGGCGAAGGCGGCUUUCUGGUCUGUAACUGACGCUGAGGCGCGAAAGCGUGGGGAGCAAACAGGAUUAGAUACCCUGGUAGUCCACGCCGUAAACGAUGAGUGCUAAGUGUUAGGGGGGUUUCCGCCCCCCUUAGUGCUGCAGCUAACGCAUUAAGCACUCCGCCUGGGAGUACGGCCGCAAGGCUG